CAGUCGCCACGGUAAUACGUAGGGUGCGAGCGUUAAUCGGAAUUACUGGGCGUAAAGCGUGCGCAGGCGGUUUUGUAAGACAGAGGUGAAAUCCCCGGGCUCAACCUGGGAACUGCAUUUGUGACUGUAUAGCUAGAGUACGGCAGAGGGGGAUGGAAUUCCGCGUGUAGCAGUGAAAUGCGUAGAUAUGCGGAGGAACACCGAUGGCGAAGGCAAUCCCCUGGGCCUGUACUGACGCUCAUGCACGAAAGCGUGGGGAGCAAACAGGAUUAGAUACCCGCGUAGUCCCUGUCUCUUAUAC
rnacentral:rRNA from 1 species